AUUGUUCUCACUUAAUACAUGAGAACAUGCAAUAUUUGGCUGUUUCUGUGUUAAUUCACGUAGGAUAAUGACCUUCAGCUGCAUCUGUGUUGCUGCAAAGGACAUGAUUUUGUUCUUUUUUAUGACUGCCUAGUACUUUGUGGUGUAUAUGCACCACAUUUUCUUUAUUUAAUGAACCGUUGGUGGAUACUUACCUUGGUUCCAUGACCUUGCUGUUAAGUUGAACUAAUUGACACCUACCACCGCUUGCUGGAGGUUGAGGACGCCCAGUGAGUGUGCACCCGGGCUGGAGAAGGCAGGAGGUAUGGCCCGGAAAAGAGACACAGAAAGGUGGAUGAUGCCCACCUGGCUGCCGAUGACUUCUGCACCAAGUGAGGCUGGGUCUCUGGAGCUGCCCCAGGGGCUGGACAAGCUGACCCUGCCUGGAGCCAACCUGGAGAUGCAGCCUGAGAACCUCAAGGAGGACCUGGUCUACCUGAAGAAGAACCAUGAGGAGAAGGUUCUAGGUCCCAGGGACUCCAAGGCUCAACCCAAGGAUAGAGAUCCAAGGUCCUGCCGGGGCGGUCA
rnacentral:lncRNA from 1 species